AGUCACCACUAUCUUCGUUUUGAACAGAAGCUUGAGCUCCAACUUUAGACUAUGUCAACAAUAAGAUACCGAGAAACACAAAUGUUUUUUUCCUAAGUUAUAUCAGAUUUUUUAAUAAACUAAAACCUCUUUAACUUGGUUUAAUUUAAAUUACACGAACAAAAUUCCUACGUAAUUGACGUUUCCAUACCGGUAAAGUUUCACGGUACGAGUUUAAUUCACGCUAAAAAGGUUGUAAACAUCUUACGCUCAGUCUAAACUAACAAAUUAAAAGUCAUGGUAAUAAAACCCAGUUCCAAAGUCAUGGAAUUGUAAAAAGUUUUAAGUCAGGGCUUUCGAUUUGGAGUCGAAGGAGAGGAAUGGAAGGAAAUUAUAUAUCAAUUUUGAUUUCCUUUUACGCCACAUCUCUCUCACAAUAACAUUACUUUUGAUGCUUCAAACGUUUCUUUGGUUGGUUGGAUGCAACCAUUUUUUUUAAGCAUUUUCUACUCAUUUUUCAUGAAUGUAAAAUUAUAACAAUGUAGGUAGCAAAAUUCAUUUUAUACAAAAAUAAAACUAUGCGUUGGCCAACAAAACACCGUAAAGAGUAAAAAGAAAAUGUAUAAA
rnacentral:lncRNA from 1 species